rnacentral:rRNA from 1 species
UACGUAGGGGGCGAGCGUUGUCCGGAAUUAUUGGGCGUAAAGCGCGCGCAGGCGGUCCUUUAAGUCUGAUGUGAAAGCCCACGGCUCAACCGUGGAGGGUCAUUGGAAACUGGGGGACUUGAGUGCAGGAGAGGAGAGCGGAAUUCCACGUGUAGCGGUGAAAUGCGUAGAGAUGUGGAGGAACAUCAGUGGCGAAGGCGGCUCUCUGGCCUGUAACUGACGCUGAGGCGCGAAAGCGUGGGGAGCAAACAGG